rnacentral:rRNA from 1 species
CGGAGGAAGGUGGGGAUGACGUCAAAUCAUCAUGCCCCUUAUGACCUGGGCUACACACGUGCUACAAUGGGCGGUACAAAGGGUCGCGAACCCGCGAGGGGGAGCCAAUCCCAAAAAAGCCGCUCUCAGUUCGGAUUGCAGGCUGCAACUCGCCUGCAUGAAGCCGGAAUCGCUAGUAAUCGCGGAUCAGCAUGCCGCGGUCGAAUACGUUCCGGGCCUU